CAGCCGCCGCGGGAAUACGAAGGGGGCUAGCGUUGCUCGGAAUGACUGGGCGUAAAGGGCGCGUAGGCGGCGAUCAAAGUCAGGCGUGAAAUUCCUGGGCUCAACCUGGGGGCUGCGUUUGAUACUUGGUUGCUAGAGUGAGGAAGAGGGUCGUGGAAUUCCCAGUGUAGAGGUGAAAUUCGUAGAUAUUCGGAAGAACACCUGUGGCGAAGGCGGCUCACUGGCUCAUUCUAGACGCUGAGGUGCGAAAGCGUGGGGAGCAAACAGGAUUAGAUACCCGCGUAGUCCCUGUCUCUUAUAC
rnacentral:rRNA from 1 species